rnacentral:lncRNA from 1 species
UUGAUUGUUCAAUAGGGACGGUGGGUAAACUAGUUGAAUAAUGUAAGGACUGAGAAUUUGGCAGUAUAGCUAAAUUCUAUGUUGACGAUAUUUUUAUAUGUAUUUUAAUUACAAACGUACUCAUCAAGUUUCGGGAGAAAAUGAGUUAGAAUGUAUAUUUUAUGCGAUCUUUACUUUUCACUUAAAGUGAAUAGCAACCCGGGUUUCAGAGAAGCCAAUGAGUAGAGAUGGCUUCUGGCGCGUAUCGGACUCCAUUCAUAGUGAUCCAAUUGCUCGUUUUCAACAGUUCGACUAUUCUGGAACCAUUGGCACUGAUGGAUUUCAGGUUUGAUGCACGAAUUUUGAGAAAAAAUGGUUAUACAUGUAUUCUAUGUAUUUGUGAGUGUGGUUUUGCCUAUUGGAGAGAGAGGAUGGGUUUU